ACCAGCGGCGACAGCACGUUGAAUGCACCAUUUCCCCACGGAUCACUCAAGCUAAGCAACGUUGCGCGUAGUUAGUACUUGGAUGGGUGACCAUCUAGGGAAUCGCGUACCGCUGGCU
rnacentral:rRNA from 1 species